GCGUUGGUGGUAUAGUGGUGAGCAUUGCUGUCUUCCAAGCAGUUGACCCGGGUUCGAUUCCCAGACAAUGCA
rfam:Xenopus tropicalis strain Nigerian Chr03_contig_3043, whole genome shotgun sequence.